GCCUGGGCCAGGCCGGCCAGGGCCUCGGCCUUGCCGUGGCCGUAGCGGUGAUCCUCGUCGGCCGGGCGC
rnacentral:tRNA from 1 species